GUCCAAGAGGAGUUGGUUGUUGAUUUGACUUUAGGACACCCUAUAGACAUUAAGUAAUGCCUAAAUAUAAUUAAUAUAUACUAUGGAAGAGUAUAUGUGAGUUUAGCUAGUAAAACAAGAGAAAUACGCAAACACAAACUCAAGCCCGAGAGCAGAUUCUGCACGUUAGAAUAAUAGACCAAACUUGAGGUUAUAAACACGAUUUGUCAGAGAGACUUUACCGUAUCAUUAUUCAUAUGUAAACCAUCAUUUAUGGAGUUUUUUUCAGCGUUUUGGUUAAUGUAAAUGCCAAAGAGAUGUCUGGAGAUAUAGGAUAUCCAAAGAGAUGAAUGCAGAAAAUAAGAACAAAAAGAUAGAAAAGAAGAAGUAAACGCAGUUCUUGAAUGCUUGGGUUAUGAAGCUUCAAACUUCUCUGAUUUUAAAAUCAUAAGAUAGGCAGUCCACUGAAGCGAGAAUUGAUGAAGAGUUGGAGAUUAAUGGCCUAUAUGAAAAUGGUACCAGAUAUUCACGAGAACAAGAGACUAACAGGGCAUAUUAACUAUGAAAUUAUGAGGAUUUAAAUCUUUUUUAGGCUGAGAACGAGAGAAGAAAGAGAACCGUGUGUAUUAUCUGUUGAGAUCAACACGUAUGUUAAUAUUUGUUGGAAUCGUCAUCUCCAGAACGCCACUGAGAAGAACGCUUUGUCUUCUCCAACUGUAAUUGUAAUUACUUGGCAUGCUAUGUUGCUUAGGAGAUUGAAGAGUCGUGCGUUCCAAAUGUAUUUUAAAUUGCCGCUAUUGUGUAUUAGGUAGGUAUCCAAGCGUUUGAUGCUGCCCUUUUUCAUUUGGACCGGACUUGACAGUAUUAAUGGAUCAAGAGUUGUAGCAGCCCAAGUACCAUAAACCCAUAAAAGACCAACAAAAAUUGAUGCCCCUUGAAAUUUGAUGCCCUGGGCCGUGGCCCAGCUCGCCCUGGGCUUGGGCCGGCCCUGCAUGCAUGCAUCACAAAAAAGACUAAAAUAUAACACUAUAUACACGAAAACCGUCAUUAAACCCUAAACUAAGAAAAGUGUACAUAAAACGUAUGAUUACUUGUUUUUAUCACUUCAAGUUAGUUUAUACAAUAUUUCUUGUAUAAAAAUUCAAGGGUUUUGGGUUAGGUUAAAAUAGUGAAGCUUAAAGUUUCAUAUUUUGGUUUCGAAUGUGUGUUCUUUGGUGUUUUUAGUGUGUGUAUAAAUUUAAUGGUCUGUGUGAGUUAUGUAAAAGUGUUUUUGCAUAAAAAUGAGUUUCAUAUGGAAUGAAAUUAUUACAUAAGAUUAUAUAUUCA